AUUGAACGCUGGCGGCAGGCCUAACACAUGCAAGUCGAACGGUAACAGGAAGCAGCUUGCUGCUUUGCUGACGAGUGGCGGACGGGUGAGUAAUGUCUGGGAAACUGCCUGAUGGAGGGGGAUAACUACUGGAAACGGUAGCUAAUACCGCAUAACGUCGCAAGACCAAAGAGGGGGACCUUAGGGCCUCUUGCCAUCGGAUGUGCCCAGAUGGGAUUAGCUAGUAGGUGGGGUAACGGCUCACCUAGGCGACGAUCCCUAGCUGGUCUGAGAGGAUGACCGGCCACACUGGAACUGCGACACGGUCCAGACUCCUACGGUAGGCAGCAGUGGGGAAUAUUGCACAAUGGGCGCAAGCCUGAUGCAGCCAUGCCGCGUGUAUGAAGAAGGCCCUCGGGUUGUAAAAUACUUUCAGCGGGGAGGAAGGGAGUAAAGUUAAUACCUUUGCUCAUUGACGUUACCCGCAGAAGAAGCACCGGCUAACUCCGUG
rnacentral:rRNA from 1 species